UCGGCCUUUGACCUUUCCUAUUUUGCAUGUUGGAUUGCACAAUUAGCCUCUUCUUACAUGGCAAAGUGUCAAAUGCAAGACUCCAAACUCCAUAAAGAAACUCCCUCAAACACUGCAGGAUAUUAGAUGGAGUAUUGCUGGAAAGGUAUGGACUUAGAGUCAUUUAUGAUGCUGCUAGUCAUGUUGAAGCUAAGCUUGCAUCUAUGCUAAAUGAUAAAGUCUGGAUUUGGAAGAGUGCAAGAUCACAUCAGUUGGUGGACAUACAAAGUAAACUACAUCCGGUUGAAAUAAAGGAAGAAGAUAAAGCAUUCUGGUCCUCAACUCCUAAGUUUGUGUGUGCUGAAACAUGGAA